rnacentral:rRNA from 1 species
GUGGGGAAUAUUGCACAAUGGGGGAAACCCUGAUGCAGCAACGCCGCGUGAGUGAAGAAGUAUUUCGGUAUGUAAAGCUCUAUCAGCAGGGAAGAAGAUGACGGUACCUGAGUAAGAAGCCCCGGCUAACUACGUGCCAGCAGCCGCGGUAAUACGUAGGGGGCAAGCGUUAUCCGGAUUUACUGGGUGUAAAGGGAGCGUAGACGGCGAUGCAAGUCUGGAGUGAAAGCCCGGGGCUCAACCCCGGGACUGCUUUGGAAACUGUAUGGCUGGAGUGCUGGAGAGGCAAGCGGAAUUCCUAGUGUAGCGGUGAAAUGCGUAGAUAUUAGGAAGAACACCAGUGGCGAAGGCGGCUUGCUGGACAGUAACUGACGUUGAGGCUCGAAAGCGUGGGGAGCAAACAGGA